AUGCAGUUCAAGCGGGCGUUGCUCAAGAGCCUGCUCCUGGGACUCCGGGAGCGUGGCGUCGCGUCGAGGGAGAUGGGCUUCCUAGAGAGGAAGCGCGCCAUCCGACGCGCCGCCGACGCCGCCCUCGCCUCGGCCCGGGGGGCCGACGCGACGCGCUGGAGCCAGGCGCUGGAGACGCAACGUCGGCCGUCGACGUGCAAGAGGAUCUUGAGGAGGUGCCACCGGCCGAGGCCGAGGAAGGCCGGCACGGCGGCGAGGCCGUGGGGCUCGGCCGGCGUCGUCGCGAGGGCCAUGGUGAGGAAGAGGACGCAGGUGUUGAAAGGUAUCGUCCCGGGAGUGGAAGCCGUGGACGAUGAGUGCACGCUGCUGGGCGAAGCCUUGGACUACGCCGUGUGCCUCAAGGCUCAGGUCGAUGUAAUGCAGCUUCUGGUGAGGGCUCUUCAAGCUCCGAAACAAUAG
rnacentral:rRNA from 1 species